CCUACGGGAGGCUGCAGUAGGGAAUCUUCCACAAUGGGCGAAAGCCUGAUGGAGCAACGCCGCGUGGGUGAAGAAGGUCUUCGGAUCGUAAAACCCUGUUGUUAGAGAAGAAAGUGCGUGAGAGUAACUGUUCACGUUUCGACGGUAUCUAACCAGAAAGCCACGGCUAACUACGUGCCAGCAGCCGCGGUAAUACGUAGGUGGCAAGCGUUAUCCGGAUUUAUUGGGCGUAAAGGGAACGCAGGCGGUCUUUUAAGUCUGAUGUGAAAGCCUUCGGCUUAACCGGAGUAGUGCAUUGGAAACGGGGAGACGUGAGUGCAGAAGAGGAGAGUGGAACGCCAUGUGUAGCGGUGAAAUGCGUAGAGAUAUGGAAGAACACCAGUGGCGAAAGCGGCUCUCUGGUCUGUAACUGACGCUGAGGUUCGAAAGCGUGGGUAGCAAACAGGAUUAGAUACCCCUGUAGUC
rnacentral:rRNA from 1 species